AAACGAAAAUUGAGAUCCAAGAUCUAGUUAGUUAACCAGUGAAACAUUGCCAUCGCUGAUCACUGUGUUCAAGGGGUUAAGCUCUAAUAUAUCAUGCAUGUAACUGAUAGGCAUCUAUAGGAUUAUAAUCUCCAACACCUGAAUAGAAACCCUGCAUCUAAUACAUUUCCAAUAAGUUACACCCCCAAAUCAUCUUGUUAGUCGAGCAAUAGACUUGAUCAAUUUGGAUUGCUAUUUACAUUUAAACCAUAAACUCAACAAACACUUAGAAUUAAUAAAUUACUAGAUUUAAUAGGUUCCAUAGCUCCUUUUGGAUUCGAUCCCUAAGUACUACAAUUGAACCUCUUAUUUGAGAGAGU
rnacentral:lncRNA from 1 species